rnacentral:rRNA from 1 species
UACGGAAGGCAGCAGUGGGGAAUAUUGCACAAUGGGCGCAAGCCUGAUGCAGCCAUGCCGCGUGUAUGAAGAAGGCCUUCGGGUUGUAAAGUACUUUCAGCGGGGAGGAAGGCGAUGCGGUUAAUAACCGCGUCGAUUGACGUUACCCGCAGAAGAAGCACCGGCUAACUCCGUGCCAGCAGCCGCGGUAAUACGGAGGGUGCAAGCGUUAAUCGGAAUUACUGGGCGUAAAGCGCACGCAGGCGGUCUGUUAAGUCAGAUGUGAAAUCCCCGGGCUUAACCUGGGAACUGCAUUUUGAAACUGGCAGGCUUGAGUCUUGUAGAGGGGGUAGAAUUCCAGGUGUAGCGGUGAAAUGCGUAGAGAUCUGGAGGAAUACCGGUGGCGAAGGCGGCCCCUGGGACAAAGACUGACGCUCAGGUGCGAAAGCGUGGGGAGCAAACGAGGAUUAGGAUACC